GAUGAACGCUGGCGGCGUGCCUAAUACAUGCAAGUCGAGCGAACAGACGAGGAGCUUGCUCCUCUGACGUUAGCGGCGGACGGGUGAGUAACACGUGGAUAACCUACCUAUAAGACUGGGAUAACUUCGGGAAACCGGAGCUAAUACCGGAUAAUAUAUUGAACCGCAUGGUUCAAUAGUGAAAGACGGUUUUGCUGUCACUUAUAGAUGGAUCCGCGCCGCAUUAGCUAGUUGGUAAGGUAACGGCUUACCAAGGCGACGAUGCGUAGCCGACCUGAGAGGGGGAUCGGCCACACUGGAACUGGGACCCGGUCCAGAUCCCUACGGGGGGCAGCAGUGGGGAAUCUUCCGCAAUGGGCGAAAGCCUGACGGAGCAACGCCGCGUGAGUGAUGAAGGUCUUCGGAUCGUAAAACUCUGUUAUUAGGGAAAAAAAAAUGUGUAAGUAACUAUGCACGUCUUGACGGUACCAAAUCAGAAAGCCACGGCUAACUACGU
rnacentral:rRNA from 1 species